rnacentral:rRNA from 1 species
UGAGGAAUAUUGGUCAAUGGACGAGAGUCUGAACCAGCCAAGUAGCGUGAAGGAUGAAGGUUCUAUGGAUUGUAAACUUCUUUUAUACGGGAAUAAACGAAUCCACGCGUGGAUUUUUGCAUGUACCGUAUGAAUAAGGAUCGGCUAACUCCGUGCCAGCAGCCGCGGUAAUACGGAGGAUCCGAGCGUUAUCCGGAUUUAUUGGGUUUAAAGGGAGCGUAGAUGGGUUGUUAAGUCAGUUGUGAAAGUUUGCGGCUCAACCGUAAAAUUGCAAUUGAUACCGGCAGUCUUGAGUACAGUUGAGGUAGGCGGAAUUCGUGGUGUAGCGGUGAAAUGCUUAGAUAUCACGAAGAACUCCGAUUGCGAAGGCAGCUUACUAACCUGUAACUGACAUUGAUGCUCGAAAGUGUGGGUAUCAAACAGGAUUAGAUACCCUGGUAGUCCACACGGUAAACGAUGAAUACUCGCUGUAGGCGAUAUACGGUCUGCGGCCAAGCGAAAGCAUUAAGUAUUCCACCUGGGGAGUACGCCGGCAACGGUGAAACUCAAAGGAAUUGACGGGGGCCCGCACAAGCGGAGGAACAUGUGGUUUAAUUCGAUGAUACGCGAGGAACCUUACCCGGGCUUAAAUUGCAACCGAAUAUGGCGGAAACGCCAUAGCUAGCAAUAGCGGUUGUGAAGGUGCUGCAUGGUUGUCGUCAGCUCGUGCCGUGAGGUGUCGGCUUAAGUGCCAUAACGAGCGCAACCCUUGCCGAUAGUUACUAACAGGUUAUGCUGAGGACUCUGUCGGGACUGCCAUCGUAAGAUGUGAGGAAGGUGGGGAUGACGUCAAAUCAGCACGGCCCUUACGUCCGGGGCUACACACGUGUUACAAUGGGGGGUACAGAGGGCUGCUACCACGCAAGUGGAUGCCAAUCCCAAAAACCUCUCUCAGUUCGGAUUGAAGUCUGCAACCCGACUUCAUGAAGCUGGAUUCGCUAGUAAUCGCGCAUCAGCCACGGCGCGGUGAAUACGUUCCC